UCCAGUGUUAUUAUCAUGAUGUACUGAUUGCAAACAACAGUUUUGUGGACUCUCAUUUAAAAAGUCUUGGUUCAAAGUCAAUUCAGAAUGAAGAUAAUUCUUGUGGUGACACUCAUUGGAAAGCUGCAAAAAUGAUCUCCAAAUCAAAGAAAAACCAAGACGAGACUGGACUUGAAGUUGCUGGAUGCAGGCAUUCGAUUGCUCAAGCUACUUUGAACUUUUCAGAGGAGAAAUUUAUGUCGAUGCUCACUACUUGCAUAUGAAUUUUUUACAACCACAUAAAGUUAAAUAUAUGUGGGAAGAUAUUAUAUGCAAAUAUUGGCCGUGGGCUCUACGUGUUACAUCGGAAGAAAAUCAAAAUGCUUUAAGAAAUACUGCACCAGCACUGUCUAUAAUGCAUGGGAAAUCACACAGUUGGUCAUGUCAGGUUAUUUGGAGCGGAAGAUGGCAAAGUGGUGCGGCAGCAACUGCUGGCGAAGAAGUUGAGCAAAUAAAUUCGUAUUUGUCAAGACUUGGCUCGACUACUAAAAAUAUGACGGCCUCCGACCGAAAGGCAACUUUCAUCUCCCAAGGAUGAUUUUGUAAAGUUAAGAAGCGAACUUAAUGUCCAGGACUCAGACUUGGACGACUCGAUAAUGCUGUGGAAAGAAGAAGUUCAACAAUUUGCAAGAGAACAACAAAUUGGAGUUUCUUCGUUGAAAGGUGCCGCCGAAGAGUUCUUCCUUUGCAUCAAACUGUUGAAAAUGCUCAACAUUUGGAGAAUUUUGUAAAAGCUAACGAUGGUCAAACGCAGACAUUAUUGGGUGAUAGGCGUUUCGUUCAUGACGCUCAAAACUAAGUGAAACAACUUGAACAAAAUGCAACAAGAUUGCUGGAAUUGAAAAGACAGCUUUUAGAUGGACAUGUGACAGAGGAGCAGCUUCUUGAGCAAGGAAAGUCGCAGCUGGCAAAAAUCACAGUAGCAAAGCUGCUGAAGAGAU